GCAAUAGCAUGAAAUUUUCAAUUGCACAGUACUGCGCAAUAGCAAGAAAUUUUGCACAGUAUUGCACAAUAGCAAGAAAUAUCUAAUUGCACAAUAUUGCGCAAUAGCAAGAAAUUUUCAAUUGCAGUUUAUAUGAAAUAUUCUUUGAAAAUUGGAGUUAUCUUUCUUUGUCCAGAAUAGUAGUUGAAUCAACUUAAAUCAUUGUUUUAUACAAUUUACAAUGUAUAUUCACUUUUACUACCAACU
rnacentral:lncRNA from 1 species